rnacentral:pre_miRNA from 1 species
AAGGGGAGCGCCGGAUCCUGGGCUGUGUCUUUCCACGCCUUGGCCUCCGGGCCCUGCGCGGUUGGAAUCAUACUCCCAGGGCUGUGCAGCCCCCU